rnacentral:rRNA from 1 species
GUGAGGAAUAUUGGACAAUGGAUGGAAAUCUGAUCCAGCCAUGCCGCGUGCAGGAAGACGGCCCUAUGGGUUGUAAACUGCUUUUAUACGGGAGCAAUAAGGUCUAUGCAUAGAUUGAUGAGAGUACCGUAUGAAUAAGCAUCGGCUAACUCCGUGCCAGCAGCCGCGGUAAUACGGAGGAUGCGAGCGUUAUCCGGAUUUAUUGGGUUUAAAGGGUGCGUAGGCGGCUUUGUAAGUCAGCGGUGAAAUUUUGCAGCUUAACUGUAAAAGCGCCGUUGAUACUGUGAAGCUAGGAUUUGGUUGCUGUGGGCGGAAUGUGUGGUGUAGCGGUGAAAUGCAUAGAGAUCACACAGAAUAUCGAUUGCGAAGGCAGCACACUAAGGCAAUAUUGACGCUGAGGCACGAAAGUGUGGGGAUCAAACAGGAUUAGAUACCCGGGUAGUCC